UGCAAAUGAUGCUUUUUCUCACGAUGGUCUUCCAAGCUCAGGAAGCUCUGACGAUACUGCCUUUGGCAAACACUGAUGCAGCUUA
ensembl:snoRNA